AUUGAACGCUGGCGGAAUGCUUUACACAUGCAAGUCGAGCGGCAGCGCGGGGGCAACCCUGGCGGCGAGCGGCGAACGGGUGAGUAACAUAUCGGAACGUACCCCGUCGUGGGGGAUAACACAGCGAAGGCUGUGCUAAUACCGCAUACGACCUGAGGGUGAAAGCGGGGGAUCGCAAGACCUCGCGCGAUGGGAGCGGCCGAUAUCGGAUUAGCUUGUUGGUGAGGUAAAGGCUCACCAAGGCGACGAUCCGUAGCUGGUCUGAGAGGACGACCAGCCACACUGGAACUGAGACACGGUCCAGACUCCUACGGGAGGCAGCAGUGGGGAAUUUUGGACAAUGGGGGCAACCCUGAUCCAGCCAUUCCGCGUGAGUGAAGAAGGCCUUCGGUUGUAAAGCU
rnacentral:rRNA from 1 species